rnacentral:rRNA from 1 species
UCGUAGAUAUUCGGAAGAACACCAGUGGCGAAGGCGGCUCACUGGACUGGUAUUGACGCUGAGGUGCGAAAGUGUGGGGAGCAAACAGGAUUAGAUACCCUGGUAGUCCACGCCGUAAACGAUGAUAACUAGCUGUCCGGGCACUUGGUGCUUGGGUGGCGCAGCUAACGCAUUAAGUUAUCCGCCUGGGGAGUACGGUCGCAAGAUUAAAACUCAAAGGAAUUGACGGGGGCCUGCACAAGCGGUGGAGCAUGUGGUUUAAUUCGAAGCAACGCGCAGAACCUUACCAGCGUUUGACAUGUCCGGACGAUUUCCAGAGAUGGAUCUCUUCCCUUCGGGGACUGGAACACAGGUGCUGCAUGGCUGUCGUCAGCUCGUGUCGUGAGAUGUUGGGUUAAGUCCCGCAACGAGCGCAACCCUCGCCUUUAGUUACCAUCAUUUAGUUGGGGACUCUAAAGGAACCGCCGGUGAUAAGCCGGAGGAAGGUGGGGAUGACGUCAAGUCCUCGUGGCCCUUACGCGCUGGGCUACACACGUGCUACAAUGGCGGUGACAGUGGGCAGCAAACUCGCGAGAGUGCGCUAAUCUCCAAAAGCCGUCUCAGUUCGGAUUGUUCUCUGCAACUCGAGAGCAUGAAGGCGGAAUCGCUAGUAAUCGCGGAUCAGCAUGCCGCGGUGAAUACGUUCCCAGGCCUUGUACACACCGCCCGUCACACCAUGGGAGUUGGGUUCACCCGAAGGCGUUGCGCUAACUCGCAAGAGAGGCAGGCG